ACAACAUAGCUCUUCGAUUAAAAAAGUUCUGAGUACGAACAAGAAGUGCCCUCCUCUUUUAUGGCAUGCCACUAUUAUAGCCAAGGACUUAUAGCUUGGCAUGUAAGGUAUUAUCUGCUUUAACCAAUGGAUAUAAUAAUUUUGCCCUUCAAAAGGUGCACAACAUAACUGUUAUGACCAAUGGCUCAUAGUUUGGGACGUGCCUCACGAUCUUAUUCUUUAAGAGCUCAUGGCUCGGCAUGUAAUGUAUUAUCCACUCUGAUCUAUGGGUCUCACGAUUUUAUCCUUCAAAAGAUGUCUCACAUAGAAAAGAUGAUCUCUUUUUAUAUAAGUCAAAGUCUUUGAAUCACAACCAAUAUGAGAUUAAUGAUAUCCUCUCUUCUACACCAUAAC
rnacentral:lncRNA from 1 species